rnacentral:lncRNA from 1 species
AAGCUGUGAGGCGCUCCGGACGAAUGAACUCCCUCAAGAAGGUGCACAGAGUGGUGGCGAGUCCUUUAUUUUAAUGCCAAACUUCAACUUCCUAAGUUUUCUCUUCCAUCCCUGUCUGUGAAGAAUCCGGGGAGUGUGUGAGUGCAAAUACUAGUUUUACCUGCCUGCGGCUGCCACUGCAACGCUUCCCUCUGGAUGAAAACGUCUAGUUGCAGGAAAACAGGCUGAGGGCUCCCACUGAUUCUACAUUAUGAGCCUUUAAAGAUGUAAUUCUCAUUAAAUGAAGUCAUGAAGAUGGCAACUGAUAUCAUAGGAUUAGAAGAAGACACCAGAGAGCUCCUUCUCCCUCUGUGUCAUGUGAGCACACACCAAGAAGGCAGACAUCUGUAAGCCAGGAAGGGCCCUCAUCAGAACUUGACCCUUCUGGCACUUGGAUCUUGGACUUGCAGCCUCCAAAACUGGCUGGAAUCUGAGUAGCUGAGGUGCUUAUGUGACUACAUGCCUACAUCACUGACCCCCAAUAAACACCUUGGACACAAGACUCAGGCUGCUUCAUCGAUACUUUCUUAUUUUAUGUUAUGAUGCAUCAAAGUGAACUCUGAUCCCUUCAAACAGAAUCAUUGCUUUCAGAUAAAGAAACCUCAGAUCAAAUAUAAGCAUCAAAAUCUACAAAGAUUUUAGAGGGUGAAGAAACACGGAAAGAUCUCUGGUGAUGGAGCCAGCAUUGAUGAACCAAGAAAAGUCUUAAACGUGAAGAAGCCUGUGAUAAACAAGGUGACUCACCUCAUCAAAUGGAAUAGGGAUCUUCUGGCAAAGCUGCCUGGGUAAACCGCAACUCACAAGGGAUAGAAUUUCACUAAAUUCUUAAGAGGUUACAGACUCUAUUUCUAUCCUUAAAUACACUCAUUAUUUUAUCCCUGGAUAUACCCAAUUAUAGUUUAAACUUAAAUUGAAUAAAAGAUGAUGGGAAUAAUUCUAUUUUUAUUUCAGGACUGUGCCCAGGGGAAUAACAAGGAAGAAAAAUGUCAGAAGAAUUAGUUUCUCUCUAAUUGAACAAAUGUAUUUAUAUUUCCUUGUUGAUAGGCAUAGAUUCUCAAUGAGAAACUGAAACUUAUGAAGUUACAUUUAAGACUCCAGUUGUGACAAUGAUGACCAAUGCUCUUUGGUAUUACGUUUUCCAAUUCAACACAGGAAAUGAGUUGGAAUUUGUUUUGCAGUUUUUUUUUCAGCCUGUUUUGUGGAGUAUUUUUUCCUGUGAUCUGUAGAAACACAAUGAUAACAUUACGAACUUUGCCAGUCAUUGGCCCAUCAAAAAUGUUUGUAUGCUUGAAUGGGCAAGAAAUUACAUUUGAUGGAGUCCCAUGUGCCUCAUUAACUAAAUUUUUCUUUUCGGUUAUUAUUAAAGGACAGUAGGUGGCCAGGCACGAUGGCUCAUUCCUGUAAUCCCAGCAGUUCAGGAGGCCAAGGUGGGCAGAUCAUGAGGUCAGGAGACCAAGACCAUCCUGGCCAACACGGUGAAAUCCCGUCUCUACUAAAAAUACAAAAAUUAGCCAGGUGUGGUGGUGUGUGCCUGUAAUCCCAGCUACUAGGAGGCUGAGGCAGGAGAAUCUCUCUAACCAGGGAUUCGGAGGUUGCAGUGAGCCGAGAUUGCGCCACUACCCUCCAGCCAGGCAAUAGAGCGAGAGUCUGUCUCCAAAAAAAAAAGACUGUAGGUAUGAGAUCAGACGUGACUUUUAACUUUUAACUUUUAACUUUCAUGUUCUUCAUCUUCCAUUCUUGCCACAAAAAGACUGCCGUUUCCUUCUUCACAUUCAAUGUGUCUCAUGGGUCAGAGAAUCUGUGUGGUUACACUCUUAACUAGUACAGCCACUGUUCUUCGACUACUUAAACGCUCUUAUCCUUCCACUCAGUCAUCCAUUUGACCCCAUUUCCUUUAUAUUCUAUGCAGAAUUACAUGUGCAAUUAGGGUUUGUUUUCAUUAUUACUGUUAUUAUUAUAAUCACUAUUUGCCAAUUCUGUUGAUUACCCUUUCCAUUUGUUUUUCAACAAAACUCUCUCUGUACACCAACAACACUGCCUCAAUCUUUUAAUCUACCAGAAAAAAAAUUCAACUCCAUAAGCAAUUGGAUCAAUAAUAGUAGGAAUUCACAAUUUUCAGUCUCAGUGGUUUCCUUCAACAUUAAACUCCUUUUUAUUUUGAUUGUCCAUUACUUCAUAACUUUGAAAUCCUCUUUCAAUUUCUCUAAUGUAAUUUGACCAAGAUUGUGGCUCGCAAGACUGAACUUUUUUGAAAUAUGGACAUGGGGAGUCCCCACAUUUUGCUAGACUACAUCUUGGAGGGUGCUUGGAAAGCAGAAAUGGUGGGAAAUCGUUUUAUUUUCUGUUUGCAAAAGCCACUUUGCAACUUGUGGUUAUCCUAUUCUAUCACCAAGCUCCUGCCUGUAUUUACAGUGGGCUUUGAAGAACCAGCUGCUGAAAGUGAUAAAUCAGCAGCUGAAAAUGAUGAAUGCGAGACUGAUUGGAACUCAAAGUGAAAUAUAGGUGCUUGUCAACAAUGUUAGAUUGGUAACUUGAGGUGGCAAAGAGUGGUGACUGCUGGCAAAAUGUAUGAAUAUAUGUAUUAUAGUAGCAAUUAUACUUGCUUAUUUCAAUGUUUUUGAAGUCUUCUUAUUUAUAGAACAUUCUGGCUUUUUAUUUUGAGGAGCACUGCUAACAAUAAAUCAGAACCAACAUUUA